CCUAGCCGGUUGCAUUUCGUGCUACUUCGAAAUGCCACAUCCGCUUCUUCCAGCUUAGCGGACAGUCGCUCAGUGGUGUCUUGAGACUGCGGCGGUGUCUGGAAUUGCGGCUUCUCCAGCGCCCUCCGGAGGCUUUGCUUCGGCUGAGCAAUAAAUAUUGGACAGCAGUACGAGGGAAGGAUCUGAAUCAGGCAAGGAGGACGGGCACUGUCCAGGAGGAAAAAGCAAACAGGAAAGUGUGCUGAGCAGGUGCCUUGGCGAGGGAGAGAGGGAACGGAAAUGUCUUCACACACCCCCAGAAAGAGAGAGAGAGAGAAUGAAGUUUCUGUCUCUUACGUGAUGUGUGAGUGGAUGGACAGAUUGUCCUCAGCUUUAAGGGCAAUUCAGGGUGAUCUGUCCUAAAAUCGACGCUCUGUGGAAUGAGAAAAAUGCGCUCUGUAGGCCAUGCCCACUGCGUGUGCUGGGAGGCUCUGCUACAUCAAAUGGGCAGAUGUGCCGUCUCCACAGAGGCCCCAAGCCUGGGUGUGAGCCAAGGCUGCUUCGAACAUAUCCGCUAUCUAAGCGGUCUGUGGAUGCUCAGCUGCAGCCUCCUGCUGGGUUGGAGAGGGAUUUGCAUUAUUAAUAGGUUCCGGAAAUUGAACUGAAGUCUCUUGUUGAAUUGCUAAAGGUAAAGCCUCUUCCAAUGACUCUGGAGGCAGAGGUGGGCCCCCAUGCUGGAUAGCAGGAGGUUCUACAUCAUUACCUGGCCCUGAGAGCUGAGCUGUAGCCUCCUGGUGGACUGCAGAAGUUCCCACCUCUGCACUAGGCUGUGUUCCUAUGGUGAGCUGCAUGUCUGGAGGCUUAACAGAGACAUUGGGCAAAUCUGAAUGCUGAGUUUGAUGGUGACCUGGAAUCGAAACUGUGACUUCAUGAUGUUCUGGAGGCUGAGCUGGGUCUCCUGCUGGGUCUGAGAAGAUUCAACCUACCCAGAAGACUCAGAAGGCUGAGCUGGCUGCUCCUGCUCACUGGGAGAAAGUGCAGGCUCUAUAGGAGGACCUGGAGGUUCAGUUGGGGCUUUCUCUUGGUUUGCAGAAGGUUCCAUCCCUUCUGGAGGCUAAGCUGAGGUCUCCUGCUGGGUCUGAGAAGAUUCAACCUCCCCAGAAGACUCAGAAGGCUGAGCUGGCUGCUCCUGCUCACUGAUGGAAAGUUCACGCUCCAUAGGAGAACCUGGAGGCUCAGUUGGGGCCUCCUGUUGGGUCGCAGAACGUUCCACCUCCUCUGGAAACUGAAUUGGGGCCUCCUGCUGGGCUUGGGAAGAUUCUGUCUCAUUGGUAGGCUCCGAAGUUAUGGUAACCUCCAUAUCUGCAGGUUCAACUGUAAUGUUGGGCAAGUUAUAAUGAGCUUGAUCCUCACCUGGAGGUUGAACUGUCACCUCAUGGUUCGGUAGAGUUUGAGCUUAAGUCUCCAUAGAGUACUCUGGAGGCCCAGCUGGGACCCCCUGCUGGGUUGAAGAAGGUUCUUCCUCCUCAGGGAGCUGUGGAAGCUGCGCUGGGGCUUCUUGCUGGAGUGAAGAGGACUGGAUGUCUUCAAGGGUCUCUGGAUUUUGAGUUUCAGGCUCUAGAUGGAAUUGAGAAAGUCCAACUUGCUCAGGGAGCCCUAGGGCCUCAUCCAAGUUAACCGGGAGUUCUGGAGGCAGCUGCCGGGAUACAGUGUGUCUAUACUCCAAUAUUCAGCCUGCAAAGUCUGUUUCUGAUGCUGAAGUUUGGAUAAUUGGUGUGGAAUUCCAACAAUCUUAGCAAGGCUCCAACGCUGAGCUAGAUCUUUCUUCAGGUUCUUGGGCGAAACAAUAAAUUCGGUUGGUUUUGAAACCUUA
rnacentral:lncRNA from 1 species